rnacentral:sRNA from 1 species
AGGUUUUUAACAAGACAUUAAAGAACACGCAAAUAAUACACUUGAUGAAUAUUAAGAAAUUCUAUCAAUCAUCCAAAUGAAUAUUAUACACUAAUGAUAUUUAGAGAAAUAAAUAAGAUGGUCAAGAUGAAUCAUCUAAAAGAUUCAUGAGCAGAAGAAUGGCGUUGUACUUUAUCCAGAAAUUUGUUCAAGAGAAGAUUUGGCAGACUUAUUCUCAAAUACUGUUUAUUCUCUGUCACAUCUUCUAAUCAUGCAGAGAUUUUACCAACUCAUGAAGCUAGCCGCAAGUGUGUUUGGCUAAGAUCCAUAGUUCACCAUAUACAAGAAGACUGUGGUCUAUAUGCAGGGAAAAAGACUCCAACAAUUAUGUACGAAGACAAUGCAACAUGCAUCGCACAACUCAAAGACGGAUACAUCAAAGGCGAUAGAACAAAGCACAUCCUACCAAAAUUCUUCUACACACACGAUCUACAAAAGAGCGGCGAUGUACGAGUUCUACAGAUCCGUUCGAAUGAUAAUCUGGCUGACUUAUUCACCAAGGCGCUACCUACUGCUACUUUCAAGAAGUUAGUCUAUCGUAUCGGAUUACGCCGUCUCAAAGAUCUCGUCGAAUAUACUCAUAAGGGGGAGUAAUUGUAUGUUGCACUCUUUUUCCCUUAACCAUGGUUUUUCCCAUUGGGUUUUUCUGGUAAGGUUUUUAAUGAGGCAGCAUUUCAAAUACUUUACGAGUUAUGAUACUAUAAUGGUCAUCAGGGGGAGUGUUAUGAAUAAAGAUGGAUGCCCAUUAUAAGGCCCAUCAUCUAAGCCCAUCAUCUAGAUGUUUCUAGGGUUUUACUCUUUCCUUGUACUCCUAUAUAAAGAACCCUUUAUCUCAAUGGAAUAACACACUCAUUUCUUCUAUCUCUUUCUCUGUUUAUAACAGUAAUCACUUUCGUUAGAUAUUUUUCCAUAAUGACAU